GUAGGAGUUCUUAUAUCAAAAGGUAGUCAAAAUUCAAAAACAUACUCGAAAAAGUGCAGCCUCGCUGCCGCUGGGCAUGCUUCCCCUUCCCUUCCGCAGCUCCGCAUCCCGCAAGAAUCCGCCAAGACAACGCAAAUGAUUUCCAACCAUCCCCAAUAAAUAAAAAAAAAAAAAAAUAGAAGAACAUUGAGAAAGAAAAAAAAGAAGGGGCACUUGACUGAGCAGUGGAGAAUCAAACGCAGUUUUAUAAGUGAACUGAAUCGAACUGAACCGCAUCAACCAACCAACGUUCCCCAGCCGAAGCCCAUAAGAUGGAUAUCAAUCCCCUUGUCAACUCCCUCAUUCCCUCCUCCAUCUCCGUUGGUUUGCUGCUCUCGUUCUUCACGUACUUGGCAGUUGCUGGAUCUAUCCUGCCCGGAAAGAUUGUUCCUGGGGUCACUUUGACUGAUGGGACUCGCCUCCAUUACCGUUGCAACGGAUUGCUAUUGCUGCUCGUUUUGAUUGCCCUUCUUGGAAUCGGGACCCAGUUGGAUAUUGUAUCGCCUACUAUAAUUGCAGACCGAGGGCUUGAGCUUUUAUCAACAACUUUUGUGUUCAGCGUUCUUGUCACACUCUUAUUGUAUGUGGUCGGUUGUAAGUCAAGUGAUCAGAACUCUUCUCUGAAGCCUCACGUUACCGGAAACUUGAUUCAUGACUGGUGGUUUGGGAUCCAACUGAAUCCUCAAUUCUUCGGCAUUGACCUCAAAUUUUUCUUUGUUAGAGCUGGAAUGAUGGGUUGGCUCCUCAUCAAUCUAUCCAUUCUCUUAAAAGCUCUCAAGGAUUCAAAUUUAACACAGUCAAUGAUCCUAUAUCAGAUAUUUUGUACGCUAUAUAUUAUUGAUUACUUUUUCUAUGAAGAGUUCAUGACAUCCACAUGGGACAUAAUUGCAGAAAGAUUGGGAUUCAUGCUAGUUUUUGGAGAUCUAGUCUGGAUUCCAUAUACUUUCAGUAUCCAGGGUUGGUGGCUCUUGCAUAACAAAGUGGAGCUAACAACAGCUGCAAUUGUUGCAAAUUGCCUUGUCUUUUUCAUUGGUUAUGUUGUGUUUAGAGGAGCCAACAAGCAGAAGCAUGUUUUUAAAAAGGACCCCAAAGCACCAAUUUGGGGUAGGCCUCCAAAAGUUAUUGGAGGAAAGUUGCUAGCUUCAGGUUACUGCUUGUUGAAGGGGCAUUGCAAGGCACAGUAAUUACCUGGGGGAUCUAUUGGUUGCACUAUCAUUCAGUUUGCCUUGUGGUAUAAGUUCCCCAAUUCCAUACUUCUACCCUGUGUAUCUUCUUAUUUUGCUUGUAUGGAGAGAGAGAAGAGAUGAAGCCCGGUGUGCACAGAAGUACAAAGAAAUCUGGAACGAGUACUGUAAUCUUGUCCCCUGGAGGAUAUUACCGUACGUUUAUUAGCUAAAAUUACCAAUAAGCUGGAAGCAUGUAUUGACUUAAUCGGGCAUUGCAAGUUCUGGUGCAGAAUUCUGUGUCUGGGAAGAGUAUCCUGUUGUUGUACAUGAAUUUGUGCUAUCACUUAAUUAGAGCUUUUUGCUUAAUGAAACAGAAUUAGAGCUUUACAAAAUUGGUUGUGUGGUCUCAAAUGAUGUCUUAGUUUGUCUUGACAUUUUGCUGCUGUAAAUGAUAGCAAUCAAGUUGGAAGUUUCAAGCUAUCC